CUAUACAUGACUCUGCGCAUAUCAAUAAGCGGAGGAAAAGAAACUAACAAGGAUUCCCCUUAGUAACGGCGAGUGAAGCGGGAAGAGCUCAAAUUUGAAAUCUUAAAGGGUUUCCCUUUACGAAUUGUAGUUUAAAGAAGUGUUUUCUGUUGAGGUUUUGGUAAAAGUUCUUUGGAAUAGGACAUCAUAGAGGGUGAGAAUCCCGUAUUUGACCAUUACUUUUCAGCUUUGUGAUACACUUUCAAAGAGUCGGAUUGUUUGGGAAUGCAGUCCAAAAUGGGUGGUAAAUUUCAUCUAAAGCUAAAUAUUGGCGAGAGACCGAUAGCGAACAAGUACCGUGAGGGAAAGAUGAAAAGAACUUUGAAAAGAGAGUUAAACAGUACGUGAAAUUGUCAAAAGGGAAGCGUUUGACACCAGUGUUGUUUUUCUGAAAAUCAAUUAAAGAACUGUUUAUGCUAAGUUGUUUAGACUUUAUCAGCUAACUGUUUAGUUUUGAGCUUUUCUUUAAUGCACUUUUCAGUUAACAAGUCAACAUCAAUUUCUUUUGCUGUAAAAAAGCUUGAGGAAGGUGGCUUGAGAUUCGUCUUAAGUGUUUAUAGGCCUCUUGCCUCUGCAGUCGGAGAGACUGAGGUCUGCAGCGUAGAUCCUUCGGGGCUAAAUGCAUUUGUGCUAAGUUAUAGCAUUUUAUAGACAACUUGUUGACUAUGAUUUGUCUUGUAGCUUACUCGCUUAUGUUAUUUUACCUACGCUUAGGAUGUUGACAGCAGUAUAGACUGU
rnacentral:rRNA from 1 species